AAUUUAUAAACAAUGACCUAUGUUUUCAUAUCAAAACAGACAACGAUUGUAAAAUACUUUAAUUGAUAUAAUGAUUUAUCUAUACCUGCAAAAUGCACACAUGUUAUUUUUUUCUUAAUCCCCAUAAUAUUUUGUUUUAGGGAUAGUAAUAAUUCUCUACCAUUGAUAUUAAAGCAUUGUUUUGAAGAUAUAAAAAAGGAUGCUGGAAGUGAGAGUAAUAAUAUAUCGACUAUUUGCAAAAAAUGCUCUAAAAUAUUAAUAGGAAGUCUAAUUUCAACUACAAAUUUUUUAAAUCAUAUAAAAAGAAAAGGUCAUGGUGAUCUAUUGACAGAGUAUGAAAAUUUUAAAUCCCAAACCAAAUCCUCCAAAAAGAAAAAAUGUGGCACACACACUGAUGAAAUUAUGAUUAUGUGUGUAUGACAGCAGAUGUUUGGUCAUCAUCAAAGAGAAGUUACCUAGGUGGAUUGGUCGGGAGGUUCAUUUGCAUGGCUACCACGUUCCCUUGAAUUGAAUACAAUAGAUUAAUGUUUUUAGGGGAUAUCUUAAAAGAUGUGCCUCAACGUUUAACAUGACAUGUGACGAAUGAAGAAGCCGCUAGAAUCAUCGCGCUCAUACAAGAUGGCCGCAGUCAAAGAUACGUCGCCGGGGAAACUGGAGUUCAACACAGCACCAUAUCCAGAGUUGUUAUUCGCUACCAAGAAACAGGGCAGCUAACCAGAAGACCCCGACAAGGCCGAGUAAGGGUAACUUCGGUAGUAGAUGAUCGUUAUUUGAGGUUAACGGGGUUAAGAAUUGGGCAUACCAACGCUCAAAGGCUGCAAACAGAUCUGUUGGCUGCUCGUAAUGUUCGAAUAAGCCUACAAACAGUUCGAAAUAGGCUGAGAGAAGCAGGUAUACGAGCCAGAGUGCCCGCUAGAAGUCCACGUCUUACCAGAGAACAUCGAGUAGCAAGAUUGGAAUUUGCUCGAGAACACGCAAAUUGGAAUAUUCAAGAUUGGUCUAAUAUUUUAUUCACGAAUGAAUCAAUAUUUUGUCUGUAUUCAUCAUAUAGGCGUGUACCAGUAUAUAGGCGACGUGGUGAACGGCACGAUCAGGUUAAUUUUUGUCAAACUGAAAGCUUUGGUGGUGGCUUUAUCAUGGUUUAGGGAGGAAUUUCUUUCGAGGGUCUCACGGAGUUAGUACCAGUGAAUGAUGGAAGACUAAAUGCUGACAGGUAAAUAAGCAAUAUCCUAGAACCCCAUGUAGUGCCCUAUAUGCCUCAUAUCGGUAACAACCCUGUGCUAAUGCAUGAAUUCAGAAACAUCCGGCACCAAUAAGAACACUAGAUGAUCUUCAAAAUGUUCUUUUUAACUUCUGGGAAAACAUGCCGCAAGGAUACGUCCAGAACCUGUUUAGAAGCCUUCUAAGACGAAUGGAAGCUGUAUUAGAAAUUCAUUAGCUGGUUUUAGUUUAAGCACUGUUCAUUUUUUUGUAUAAUAGUUUCUAUGUUUUGGUAAAUCUAACUUUUUGCUCUCUGUAGAUUAAACUGAUAUAAAAUAAAUGUUGCAAAAGGCGUA